UACGAAGGGGGCUAGCGUUGUUCGGAAUUACUGGGCGUAAAGCGCACGUAGGCGGAUCAUUUAGUCAGGGGUGAAAUCCCGGGGCUCAACCUCGGAACUGCCUUUGAUACUGAUGGUCUCGAGUCCGGAAGAGGUGAGUGGAAUUCCUAGUGUAGAGGCGAAAUUCGUAGAUAUUAGGAAGAACACCAGUGGCGAAGGCGGCUCACUGGUCCGGUACUGACGCUGAGGUGCGAAAGCGUGGGGAGCAAACAGG
rnacentral:rRNA from 1 species